rnacentral:rRNA from 1 species
UACGUAGGGGGCGAGCGUUAUCCAGAUUUACUGGGCGUAAAGCGCGUGUAGGCGGCUGGUUAGGUGUGAUGUGAAAGCCUUGAGCUUAACUCAAGAAGUGCCCCAGAAACGGUGAGACUGGAGUCCUGGAGAGGGUCGUGGAAUUCCCGGUGUAGCGGUGAAAUGCGUAGAGAUCGGGAGGAACACCAGAGGCGAAGGCGGCGACCUGGACAGGUACUGACACUCAACUACGAAAGCGUGGGGAGCAAACAGG